GGAUGAGCCUAUGUUAGAUUAGCUAGUUGGUAGGGUAAAGGCCUACCAAGGCAGUGAUCUAUAGCUGGUCUGAGAGGAUGAUCAGCCACACUGGAACUGAGAUACGGUCCAGACUCCUACGGGAGGCAGCAGUGGGGAAUAUUGGACAAUGGGCGCAAGCCUGAUCCAGCUAUGCCGCGUGAGUGAGGAAGGCCUUAGGGUUGUAAAACUCUUUCAGCGGGGAAGAUAAUGACGGUACCCGCAGAAGAAGUCCCGGCAAACUCCGUGCCAGCAGCCGCGGUAAUACGGAGGGGGCAAGCGUUGUUCGGAAUUAUU
rnacentral:rRNA from 1 species